rnacentral:lncRNA from 1 species
UCCGGGAGUAGUCUUUAGCACCGAGCUGGAGGUAUUACUAUUUUGGUACUUUCCUAGAACUACGUGCCCCCAUAGGAUGUGAGUCUGAGGCUGAUUUAUAUAUUGAUCACUAGUUUUUGAAUUGACGAUUAAGGUUCUAUUCUGAUGGCAAGGAUAGGACAGCUCUCCCCAACGUGGGUAAGACGUUGGACUCCAUGUAGCUCACAUGGUUUAUAUCGGUUAUGAGAAACUCCCAAU